rnacentral:lncRNA from 1 species
AAAUUUAAUAAAUAAAUAAAUGUAUCUCAUGACUAUUUUUGUAACAAUAUUGGGACACCUAGGCUGCAAAAUUCACAAUGAUUCUGGUGGAAAUCAAGGUGCAGGUAAGUGUUCCAGCAACGUGGCACAGAAGAGGGCCCUAAUUUCUUGGGCAGGCAAGAGACCGAGAGCUUCCUGCAAGGAGUUGUGGCUGCUGUCCCUCAGAAGCAGCUAGUCCAAUAUCAAGGCAAACAUGGAUAUAUCAUUAUGAGGCACUACAGCCAGGAAAUUGUGGAUCCAACUCUUGGCAGAGUCUCGGGUGUUAUGGAAGGACAAGAAAUGGGUCUACAUAGCCUGCUGCAGUCCAAGGUUACAAAUAUGCCCUUCUUGCAUGUUAUGGUGAUGAAUAUCACACCGUCUCCAAUUUCUCAGUAUGAGUUGCUUCUAGGAAACUUGAAAGCACAGGAGCUGCCUUCUGCAGUACUCUUAAGGCAUUGGUUUCCUAAAUUAAAGCAACUCCAAGUUUCCUCCAGUUUGAGAGCUGCUGUAUAGCUCAGUGGCUUUAGGUAUCUGGCUGCAGAUGCUGAAAGUUUGAUUCUCUUCUGUGCCUCCUUAACAGGGGCUGGACUUGAUGAUCUAUAGGGUCCCUUCCAGUCUUGUAGUUCUGAUUAUCAUUAUCAUUAAUAACAGCUUUGCUGGUUUCGUUGGUGGAGGGCAAUGAAUUCUUCAGGUGUUUUCAAUGUCCUACCAAUCAGUCAAGGCUGGAAAUGCUACUUGAAGAACAAUUCGCCACCUCUACCCUUCCCUGCUCCCACUCCUGCUUUUUGUAACCUCUUGCCUGAUUAAGAGAUCUUGAAAUUUCAAAUGCUUGCACACAUUUUGUUCCCUUUCUGUCAGCCUACUUUAGAACAAAGAUAAGUGAGUCCUUCCCUGCCCCAGGAAAAAAAGGGAAGUCAAGGGUUGGUAGUCCAGCUGGUAGAACCUCUUCUAAUUUCAUUGCACAUGAAAGGUAACUGCAAGGCAUGGUAUGGCAGAUGAUUGCUUACAGUACCAUGUGUUACAAAAUGGGGGACCAAAAGAAGUCUCAGAUUUGCCUAAAACAUGCACAUGCUAAUUUAUAAAUAGAGAUAUAAAUCCAAAAAUAAUGACAGUGUGAAGGAAGACAAGAGGCAAGUGAGCUGUCCUCACCAACAAGACCACCAAAAGAGGAGAAUGAUAUCAAUAGGGAAGAUAUAGAAGGAAUAAAAGGAAUGUUAGUAGAGGAGAAGAAGAACA